rnacentral:misc_RNA from 1 species
GAUGAAGAACGUAGCGAAAUGCGAUAAGUAAUGUGAAUUGCAGAAUUCAGUGAAUCAUCGCAUCUUUGAACGCACAUUGCGCCCCCUGGCAUUCCGGGGGGCAUGCCUGUCCGAGCGUCAUUACAACCCUCAAGCUCAGCUUGGUGUUGGGCCCCGCCGCCCCGGCGGGCCCUAAAGUCAGUGGCGGUGCCGUCCGGCUCCGAGCGUAGUAAUUCUUCUCGCUCUGGAGGUCCGGUCGCGUGCUCGCCAGCAACCCCCAAUUUUUUUCAGGUUGACCUCGGAUCAGGUAGGGAUACCCGCUGAACUUAAGCAUAUCAAUAAGCGGAGGA